UACGGGGGGAGCAAGCGUUGUUCGGAUUUACUGGGCGUAAAGGGCGCGUAGGCGGCCAGCACAAGUCAGUUGUGAAAUCUCCGAGCUUAACUCGGAAAGGUCAACUGAUACUGUGCGGCUAGAGUGCAGAAGGGGGCAACUGGAAUUCUUGGUGUAGCGGUGAAAUGCGUAGAUAUCAAGAGGAACACCAGUGGCGAAGGCGACUCACUGGACGAUGUAUUGACGCUGGAGGAGCGAAAGCGUGGGGAGCGAACAGG
rnacentral:rRNA from 1 species